UACGGAGGGUGCAAGCGUUGUCCGGAUUUAUUGGGUUUAAAGGGUGCGUAGGCGGCUCAAUAAGUCAGUGGUGAAAGCCUCCAGCUUAACUGGAGAACUGCCAUUGAUACUGUUGAGCUUGAGUAUAGUUGAGGUAGGCGGAAUUGACAGUGUAGCGGUGAAAUGCUUAGAUAUUGUCAAGAACACCGAUUGCGAAGGCAGCUUACUAAGCUAUAACUGACGCUGAGGCACGAAAGUGUGGGUAUCAAACAGG
rnacentral:rRNA from 1 species